CAGCCUCCUGAGUAGCUGGGACUACAGGUGCUGCCACGACGCCCUGUUAAAUGCUAGCACAGCUACCUUCGCAUUGCAGUGCUAUGGAAACAGAAAACCAGAAGUUCUGCCAAAUAUCCACCAGUGUUUUCUUCAGUCCCUUAAAGUGUGAAGAUUUUAAAUCAUCAUUUUAUAUUGCCCACAUGUGAUGUAUUAUGAAGCAAUGUUCAUACCAAUUUAGAGGCUUGGAUAAUGAAGCAAAAUUUGAUUGUUAAAAUAAAAUACAUACAACAGAGCCUCCAAUUAUAGUCUGCACAAAACUGAAGCAACGUUAAUGAGAUGAAAGGUCCAGUAGAAAAAGCAAUGAUGGGGAAAUUAAGAAAGAAGUGACACAAGGGUUAUAGAUCCAGAAUUAACAAAAUUCUUUCUAAUUGAAGCACCGAGGAAAUAGAGGGAAAAGAAGAAAAAAAAUUUGAAAGAAAUAAUGGCUGAAUAUUUCCAACAACUGAGAAAGUGAAGUUGUUUUCAGAUAAAGAGAUGAGAAGAUCAGAUCAUGGCUUAAAAAGCAGGGCGGCAAAGAAGAAGUAUAAUAAUGUAACAUUCACAUUUAAAUCCAUUUAAAGAAUCUUCAGUUUAUCUAAGAGAGAAAUAGCUAAAAUGCAUCAGAGUAAAAGAAAGAAAACACUUGUAUAAUGGAUUAUGUUGAAAUUCUCUUACUACUCAGUAAUACUGUGUGAAAGAUACAGUGCAUUAGUAUCUUCAGGUUUUUUAUGGAAAAUUGUUUCACUACCCAUGCCCGUGUAAUUAGACUUAAUUUUGAUCUUGUCAGGUGACCAUAUGACCACACCAUUAGUUUCCUUUCUAGGUACAUUUUCUGCACCUAAAAGGAUUUAGCAGUAGUCACCAAUUCUUUCUCAAAUUUUAACAAAUCUUUAUUUGUGUGUGGUCUGCAGUUAGGUCUUAAUAAAGGCAUCACUGGAUUAUUAAGAAAACAUUUUAUUCCCCAAAUAUACCUGCCUUGAAAUUUCUGGCAUGUGUGUGUUUUUUUUUCUUAAUCAAUUAUCUUGCCAAUCUGGCCAGUAAUUUUGUGAGCUCAUCUUUUUUUUUUUUUUUUUUUUAUUCUAGAAACAACCCAUUCCAACAACUGACAUUAUGUUUUGAAACCAUUUCACCCAAACCCAUAAAUCAUUUAGGAACAUGUACUUCCCAUGUUAUCAUAGGAACACUUGAGCUACUGUUUCUCUGCUAUGUGUACUGAGUCUCCAUUGUGUAGCCUCCUAUGCCAGUGAGGAUAUAAGGAUAUCAUCCACCGCCCAGUCUCAAUAUCUGUGCUUUGAAAUAUAUUAGUAGCCUUCCCCUAGUUUCAGCUUUGUUUAUCAGCUUUUCAUGGGCUAAUUCCUGGCUUUCGAUGAACAGAGGGGAAAAAACAAAUGAACAAACAAAAAAAAGUACAAACCUAAUUUGUGUUAUUAUUCAAAGUCAAUCUUUACAUUGGAUUAUCCCUUUAAUUCUGGCUCUGCUCAAUAGCCAAAUAAAUUUGGAAUAAUAUGUCUGAGCAAUAUAAAAGAAUUAUAGCAAUCUAUAGAAGAAUAUUGUAGAUUACCACAGUUGUUUUAGAUUGUUUAAAGCCCUUAAAUUUAAGGCAAAUUAAGAGAUUGAAAAUAAGACCUUAUGCAUAAUUUUCAAAUUAUUUGAUAAUAAAACUUAACUCUCUGUUCCUUACUCUUUGCCUCCUUCCCAUUUUUUUCCUGGCUCUGUCCCUCUCCUCUCAUGUUUUUGGAGCAUCUGCAGAGAGCAGAGUUCCACAAAAUACAUUUUUAUUUGCACUGUCUUCAAGCAAAAGGAGGCACAAUGCAAUUACUUAGAAAUUGAUUAUUCAUUCUAUUAUACUUUUACCAAAACAGAUAUAAUAGUGUUAUUUAUCAAAUUAGGUUUUGAUAUCAUUAUAAAAUGAAUAAAUUUCAUGGGAAGAUAAAAUACAAAUAUUUACUUCAAGAGGAAAUAUAAUGCUGCUUAAAGGAAAAGCUAAAUAAUGAUAAAAUAAUAGCAAUAAAAACUAUAAUAAAUCUUCAUAGGAUUUUUAAAUGUAGAUAUGUGUAAAGAAGAAAUAACAUAGAUUACAGGUUUUCAAAUCAGAAUUCAAUAGUUACUUGGGCAAGGACUGAAAAAAUAUAUUUGUAAUCUGCUUUAAAUAUGUAUAAUUAUUGUAUUUUACAUGUUGAGUAAUAUUUUACAUAUUAAAAAUAUCAAAUAUAAUUUUUAUGACUCACAACAUAAAUUAAAAUUCAAGUGUUAAAUAAUCAAUGGCAGAAAUAUAUUUUUCUGUUACGUAUACAACAAAAUCUUUAUAUUGUCUAAAAAUACGGAGAUAGGGUUUUUAACUAAGUAUCCUGUAUCUUUGAAGCAUGAUUGAAUCUCAACUGUUUCCUAAAAAUAUGUGGUGUGAUACAAGAUAGAUUAUGUAAAAUUUACAAAUUCAGUAUUGUUAAUGAUUAAAUGUUUAUAAAUUAAGGUGUUGGAUCAGAAGCAUAAAGUUAUUGUUCAAAUUUACUUUUAGGCAUCCUAAAUGAAAAAGAUAAACUUAUCAACUCCACGUCAGAUAAAGCCAAAUAAGAGCAAACCAAGGUCAGUCACUUGACAAAUAAUCCAAGAGAGAAAAAAGGUUACCAUAUAAAAUCGUACUGAUUAAUAAACUGAUAAGCGGCACAUUGAAUUCCUUGCAGAAUGGGGCUUGAUUCUUACUUAGAGCCCACAGAGUAUGACCUGGUAUUGUUGAGUAAUUGAGUCAUUGUCCUUCAUUGAAGAAAGCAUGAUUUUCCUUUAUAGAAAGGACUAAUUAAAGAAGGUAACAUGAAACACUUGAAGUGAAUACUUAAAUGAAAUUAUAGGAAAUUGUCAUGCUCAUUUUGUUCUCUUUCCAUGGUAUUCUUUAAAAAGGAAUUUAUUUUUAAAAUAUUGUUUCAGUAUUUUGGCCAACUGAUGAAGUGUAAGUAGAUCAGGAACAUGAACUGAGCUGCAUGUUUCACUUGAGUUCAAGAGCAUCCUAAAUAAUUUUUUACAUGGAACUUUCUUUUGAUCAUCUACUUUUGCUUGAGACAAAAAAAAAGAAAAAACAGUUUUUCGUUGAAAUAAAAUAUACCACAGGCACAACUUUUAUUAUUUUUUGUUCCCAUUUUUUAUCACAUAUUUCUGCACAAUUUUAAUGUCUUUUGGGGCAAAACUUUCUGGGGUUUUUAAUAAAAAUAUUGUUUAUGAAAUGUCAGUUUUAUACAGACUUCUCAGUUUUGCAGCAUUUUCUACCCAGAAGCUUUAUUUAAGCAUAGAGAUUCUGAUAUCUAUUUGAUAUGUAUUAAUCUCACUGUUAUGAAACAAAAAUUUGAAGUUUUGUGUUAUAGUGACAAGUAUGUCUCCUAAUAUGAUUUUAUUCUUUACCUUUGUGUCAAACAUUUGAAAUUGUGGAUAUCAUUGAAAAGUAAUGAAAGAAUGACUAAAUAAGAAUAAAAAUAUUUUUAAUAAAGAAACCAGUUGUUAGGAGGAGAGUUUGGUGGAGAAGUGAUGUCCUGCAAAACAGUCAUUCCCAGGUGUAAUUCAAAGUUAAAAUAAAAUGUUCAAUGUUAUCAAAGUAGUGAUUUGAAACAAAUUAAAAUGCACACAUUUUGGUAAACAGGCUUUGAUGAGGGCACUCAUUUUCUGCAGUAGAUGUAAAAAUCAGGUCAUGAUUUUGUAAUUCAAACUUGCAAAACAAAUAGAAAAGGUUAUAAUUCUGGCAUUGCUCUUGAAGAAAAAAUAUUAAUACUGAAAUAUGCAAACUAAUAAUAUUCAAACAAUACAAUAAAAUAUGAAUACAGUAAAAUGUAUAUACAUGUAAAUUAUAUACUUAUGGAUCAAUUUAUAUAUCUAGAGAGUCCUGCAAAGAGUUAUGUCAAAAACACUUAUCUCUGGAUGAUUAUAUUAUGAGCGAUUAUCAUUUUUCUUUUAUAUUUAUCUGUAUUUUCUAGUUUUCUAGAUUGCCACUAAUUAUUACUUAAAAUUAUAAUAAUUGGGUUACACAUUAAUUCAUGUUGUAUUAUUAAAAGUUUCAAAUUAGAAAAAAACUACAAGCUCAAUAUUCCACCCAUAUUCUUUCUAACUCUCUGAGUAAUCAUGUAUAAAACUAUCAUUAGUCAUUAAUUGUGUGCUUAUUUACACACACAAAUAUAUAUUAGAUAAACUUAUUUUUUUAAUUAGCAAUCUCUUGGAUACUUUCUCUCAUCAUUGUAUAUUUCUCUGCCUCAUCCUUUUUCAAGUUGCAUAUUAUUCUAUGGAAUAGAUUUACUGUAACAUAUCAAUACAGCCCACUAUUACUUACAAAUUCCAUAAGAUAUUUUCAAAUGUUUAGUUGUUAUAAACAGUGCUUUAAUUACGUACUUGUAUAUGACUCUCUGUGUAUUCUUCCAGUUAUUUCUGGAGAAUAUAAAGCUUUAUCAGAGAUUAUGUAUAAUUCAUAUUUCAACAAAUAAUGCCAUUCAUAUGUUUGUACUUCCUUUUUGAUUUUUGAGAAUUUUAACAUAUUCUGAGGUAAUUAUUUGCAAGUAUUAUGCUUGCAUUUUCUCAGUCUUCAGAAAUAGUUCUUUGCCUUCAUUGGGCAUUAUACUAACAUUGAAAUUUAGAAAAUAAUUAUAUUAAGAAUAAACAGUGGCUUAAAAAGUGUGGCCUCACUAUGUAGGCCCUAAAAAGAAAUAGAAAAUAUUAAAGAUUUAUAUUUAAAGUCAAUAAUGAAAAAUGAGAGUUAAUAAGAUUAUAUAAAACUGCUAAAAUUCACAAGAGUUACAUAAAUUAAUAUAUACUGCUCUGUUCAGAGCAAUAUAGUGUACAAACAAAUUACAAAAUAAUUGAUAUAAACUGGCCUAAAUGGCAAAGGGUUUGUAAUUAUCUGAACACAUGUACUUUAUAAAUAAUGACAUUUUAAAUACAUGGACAAACUGUGAUAAUUUCAGCACCCUUUCAAGGAAGAGGCAAGUUAUAAGUUGCUUUGGGCCAUUCUCUUGUAUGAAGUUGCUGAAAAAUCCCUAGCAAAUAUUGCUUCUCCCUCAAUAUUCUAGAGUAAUAUGAAUUAUUUUUCAUCAACUUUUAUUUUUAGUUCCAGGGUACAUGUUCAGGAUGCGCAGGUUUGUUACACAGGUACAUGUGUGCCAUGGUGGUUUGCUGCACAGAUCAACCCAUUGUCUAGGUAGUAAGCCCAAUAUCCAUUAGCUCUUAUUCCUGAUGCUCUCCUUCCCUCCAUCCCCACCCCACCGCUGCUGAUAGGCCCCAGUGUUUGUUGUUCCCCACAACGUGUCCAUGUGUUCUAAUUGUUCAGCUCCCACUUAUAAAUGAGAACAUGCUGUGUUUGGUUUUCUGUUCCUUGCGUAAUUUGCUGAGGAUAAUGUCUUCCAGUCCCAUCCACGUCCCUGAAAAGGACAUGAUCUCAUUCCUUUCUAUGGUUGCAUAGUAUUCCAUGGUGUGUAUGUAACAUAUUUUGUUUUACCCAGUCUAUUAUUGAUGGAUAUUUAUGUUGAUUCCAUAUCUUUGCUAUUGUGGAUAGUGCUGUAAUGAACAUAGGCAUGUAUAUAUCUUUAUAAUAGAAUGAUUUAUAUUCCUUUGGGUAUAUACCUAUUAAUAGGAGUGCUAGGUCGAAUGGUGUUUCUGCUUCCAGAUCUUUUGAGUAACAUGAAUUUUUAAAUGUGCUCGCUGAUCAUUCUGAUGCAUGAUGCACACAGAAAAAGUCUUUUCGCCCAACUGAUUAACCCUAAACCAUUUAUUUUGUAUUACAUGUCAAUUUGAUUGAAUUACUCACUUUUAUAAACUUAUAGAUUAUAAAAUUUGGUUCAUUAGAUUUUAUGGAUUUGGCUGAAUUGUAAACCUAUUAAUUUUGCUUUAACUCUGCAAGGAUUAACAAUGUGACAGAUGAAAGAACUUAAAUCUGUAACAUCAGACUCUCAAACGUUAGAUGUUACUCUGUGGCAGGUUUUAAAAAAUUCACACCACAAAUA
rnacentral:lncRNA from 10 species